rnacentral:tRNA from 1 species
GGGGCGGUAGUUCAGUUGGGAGAACAUCACGUUCGCAACGUGGGGGUCGUGGGUUCGAAUCCCAUCCGCUCCA